UACGCCACCAUUUUGUGGGCAUUUCUACUUGUGCAGUUCGAGAGGUUGGUUGUGUGCGUUACAAGCCUAUCAAAUUCGUUUAAUAAAUUUACACACUUAAAAUACAAAAUGUCACGUUAUCGUGAAUGGGAUCUUUCAUGUAAAGUAUACGUCGGUAAUCUAGGAAAUAGUGCCAGUAAACAUGAAAUCGAAAGCGCAUUCAGUAAAUAUGGGCCCCUUCGAAAUGUGUGGGUUGCCAGAAAUCCACCUGGAUUUGCAUUUGUGGAAUUUGAAGAUCCACGUGAUGCAGAAGAUGCAGUCAGAGGAUUAGAUGGAACACGUUGUUGUGGAACCAGGGUUAGGGUAGAGAUGUCCUCUGGAAGAAGUAGACGUGGUGGUGGUGGACGUAGACCAGGUCCAAGAUAUUCCAGAUUCUACCAGCGUCAGCUCCUAGCUCUGCUCGUCUCCCCGCCACUACUACUACUGCUACUACUACUACUACUACAGCCACCGUGAAAAAAAGUCUAGCAAUCGAAACUGAACAAAAAAAAAGCCUGCCUGCCCACUAACUUCCCAACCAGUCACCAUCAGUCACCACCAGUCACCGGUAGGAGCCAAGUCGUCCGUCAGUUGACAGUCCGAUGCUGUCCGUCAGUCCGUCAGUCCGUCUGUUCCCCUUCAAAAAGACUUCUUCGGGCUACCUCAACCUCUAGCGGCUAGGAGCAUCGUGAAUCCAUCGAACAGCCGACGCGAUAUGAACGAAUACUUCUGUCAAAAUCUCGGCGCGUCAGUCCGUUCGUCCGUCCCAACUUCUACUACUACUACUACUACUGCUACUACUACUACGUCGUCAACCAUCACGUUAAAUUUAGCCGACAACGCGACCGCCACUUCUCUUCGACUGAGCAAAGCAAAAUGAUCACCACCUACACACCAUCCCACCACCACCCAACCAAGUACCACCACCACCAACCACUACAUGUUCACAGUUGUCUGGUCGAGGUCCCGCAGCCCGCGCAGGAGAUCUCUGACCCGUAGCCGCAGCCGAGACCGCCGUUCUCGUUCGGAUUCCCG